rnacentral:rRNA from 1 species
UUUAGAGUUUGAUUCCCUGGCUCAGGACGAACGCUGGCGGCGUGCCUAAUACAUGCAAGUCGAGCGAAUCUGAUAAAAGCUUGCUUUUAUCAGAUUAGCGGCGGACGGGUGAGUAACACGUGGGCAACCUGCCUGUAAGACUGGGAUAACUUCGGGAAACCGGAGCUAAUACCGGAUAAUAUAAAGAACCUCCUGGUUCUUUAUUGAAAGAUGGUUUCGGCUAUCACUUACAGAUGGGCCCGCGGCGCAUUAGCUAGUUGGUGAGGUAACGGCUCACCAAGGCAACGAUGCGUAGCCGACCUGAGAGGGUGAUCGGCCACACUGGGACUGAGACACGGCCCAGACUCCUACGGGAGGCAGCAGUAGGGAAUCUUCCACAAUGGACGAAAGUCUGAUGGAGCAACGCCGCGUGAGCGAUGAAGGCCUUCGGGUCGUAAAGCUCUGUUGUUAGGGAAGAACAAGUACCGGAGUAACUGCCGGUACCUAGACGGUACCAA